rnacentral:rRNA from 1 species
CGCGGCCUAUCAGCUUGUUGGUGAGGUAACGGCUCACCAAGGCAUCGACGGGUAGCUGGUCUGAGAGGACGAUCAGCCACACUGGGACUGAGACACGGCCCAGACUCCUACGGGAGGCAGCAGUAGGGAAUCUUGCGCAAUGGGCGAAAGCCUGACGCAGCGAUGCCGCGUGGGGGAUGAAGGCUCUCGGGUCGUAAACCCCUUUCAGCAGGGACGAAAAUGACGGUACCUGCAGAAGAAGCCCCGGCCAACUACGUGCCAGCAGCCGCGGUAACACGUAGGGGGCGAGCGUUGUCCGGAUUUAUUGGGCGUAAAGAGCUCGUAGGCGGUUCGGUAAGUCGGGUGUGAAAAUCCAAGGCUCAACCUUGGGACGCCACCCGAUACUGCUGUGACUGGAGUCCGGUAGAGGAGUGUGGAAUUCCUGGUGUAGCGGUGAAAUGCGCAGAUAUCAGGAGGAACACCGACGGCGAAGGCAGCACUCUGGGCCGGUACUGACGCUGAGGAGCGAAAGCGUGGGGAGCGAACAGGAUUAGAUACCCUGGUAGUCCACGCCGUAAACGUUGGGCACUAGGUGUGGGGUCUAUUCAACGGAUUCCGUGCCGUAGCUAACGCAUUAAGUGCCCCGCCUGGGGAGUACGG